rnacentral:tRNA from 1 species
GGUUGUAUAGUGUAGUGGUUAGCACGUGAGAUUCUGACUCUCAUCUAACUGGUCGCUAGCCUCAGUUCGAGCCUGGGUACGACCU